CUUGGCUAUGAUUUUACUGAUCUCUUUAGCUUUGAAAUUAAUCCUUACAAAUUAGAUCGAAAGAAAAGAAGAAUUCUACCUUUCUUAUAAACUUCAUGAUAUUUGGAGUUUUAAUGUCGGUAUAAUUCAUCAGAUCUGGGGUUGAGGUCAACAUGUACUUGAAGUUCAGGUGCUUUUCUUGGAUGAAAUGAAAAUUGGAUUCAUGUAAUAGGAGAAAGGUUUCCCAUUCCUUAACAACCAGUGCUUAAAUGAAUCUGCUUGGUUAGCAGUCUCUAAUGCAUGUAUUCAUAGUACAAUUGUUUGACUGAGACUAAAAUGAAAAUUAUGAG
rnacentral:misc_RNA from 1 species